UAGAAACCUCUAGAAGCCCCAAAAGCAACACAUUUGCAUCCCUCAACCAGCAAUAAGGUUAGCACAACCUUAGCCAAAACAAACAGAGGUAAACUAGGGACAAAACGUGAAAAGAGCCCCUAUACAUCAACACCAUCAUUCACAGAAGUAUCCAAAGACCAGAAAGACGAUCAAACUCCCCUGUACACUUCCAGGAUCCUUUCUGUAUCCUUUACAGUGCCCAAAUUACCCCUCAAGCACCAGAAGCUUAACCUCCCCAAGUCCCUGCACACAGAAACAUUCAGCAACAAAAUAGCCAUGGCCUCCUCAGAAAAAUCCUCCAACAUAGGCUCAACAAGCAGAGCUCCAACCACAAAAACCAAU
rnacentral:lncRNA from 1 species